rnacentral:rRNA from 1 species
GAUGAACGCUAGCUACAGGCUUAACACAUGCAAGUCGAGGGGCAGCAUGGUCUUAGCUUGCUAAGGCCGAUGGCGACCGGCGCACGGGUGAGUAACACGUAUCCAACCUGCCGUCUACUCUUGGACAGCCUUCUGAAAGGAAGAUUAAUACAAGAUGGCAUCAUGAGUCCGCAUGUUCACAUGAUUAAAGGUAUUCCGGUAGACGAUGGGGAUGCGUUCCAUUAGAUAGUAGGCGGGGUAACGGCCCACCUAGUCUUCGAUGGAUAGGGGUUCUGAGAGGAAGGUCCCCCACAGUGGAACUGAGACACGGUCCAAACUCCUACGGGAGGCAGCAGUGAGGAAUAUUGGUCAAUGGGCGCAGGCCUGAACCAGCCAAGUAGCGUGAAGGAUGACUGCCCUAUGGGUUGUAAACUUCUUUUAUAAAGGAAUAAAGUCGGGUAUGUAUACCCGUUUGCAUGUACUUUAUGAAUAAGGAUCGGCUAACUCCGUG